rnacentral:misc_RNA from 1 species
AAACAUUUUUAUUAGAACAUCAAUAAAAAAAAAUGAAGACAAAUGUUGCAUCUAACGGUGCACUGUGUUAAAACACUUUAAACAUAAAUGUGGCUCGUCAAUACAAUCUGGACAAUAGGUGGUUACCUUUUUGGUCCGAUUCUGAGCGAUUCUUGAUCCUAACUGUUUAACAUUUUUUUUAUAACAUUCUCUGGAAAAUUUUCGUGCCAGGUACGCUUGUCCUUCUUUCUUCUGUAUCUCGUGUGGCAAUCUCUAUCGAAUAAAUAUAUUUGACGGUUCUGGUGAAUGGCACAGUGCAAGGUGCAUCACGAGUGCCAUUCUAAAAUCUGGUACCUUGAUUUUUGUUCUUGUUGCUUGUUUAUAGAGUAUCA